UACGUAGGGCGCGAGCGUUGUCCGGAAUUAUUGGGCGUAAAGAGCUCGUAGGCGGCUGGUCGCGUCUGUCGUGAAAUCCUCUGGCUUAACUGGGGGCUUGCGGUGGGUACGGGCCGGCUUGAGUGCGGUAGGGGAGACUGGAACUCCUGGUGUAGCGGUGGAAUGCGCAGAUAUCAGGAAGAACACCGGUGGCGAAGGCGGGUCUCUGGGCCGUUACUGACGCUGAGGAGCGAAAGCGUGGGGAGCGAACAGGAUUAGAUACCCUGGUAGUCCACGCCGUAAACGUUGGGCACUAGGUGUGGGGGGCCUUUUCCGGGUCUUCCGCGCCGUAGCUAACGCAUUAAGUGCCCCGCCUGGGGAGUACGGCCGCAAGGCUAAA
rnacentral:rRNA from 1 species